rnacentral:rRNA from 2 species
UNAGAUCGGACGAGAUCACCCGCUGAAUUUAAGCAUAUAACUAAGCGGAGGAAAAGAAACUAACCAGGAUUCCCCCAGUAACGGCGAGUGAAGCGGUAAGAGCCCAGCACCGAAUCCCCCGGCCCUCCGUCGGCGGUAACUGUGGUGUGCGGGACGCCACCAGCCGCGCGAGCGGGCGCCGAAGUCCUCCUGAUCGAGGCCUCUCCCACGGUGGGUGUAAGGCCUUUGCUGCGGCCGGCGCGCGCGGCCGCGAGCGUCCCAGGAGUCGGNUUGUUUGGGAAUGCAGCCCAAAGCGGGUGGU